GGGGUAUCAGUGGCAAUUUGUUGGCAAAUAUAUUAGGAUAUACACUUGAAUUUGAUUAAUCGCUUGGCAUGUGAUUCUAGAUGUCCAUAAUAACUCAAAAUCAUUAUUAGCAUUCUAUGAAACAAAGUAAAAUUUAUAGCAAGAUUAUGAAUUGCUUGAGGCAUUUUAAAAUGUAUGCACAAAACUAUUAAAGUGACUGGGUGAAUCUCAUGCAUUGCAAUUUGAAAUUGCCAGUUCAUCAAUC
rnacentral:misc_RNA from 1 species